AGAGCGUCAAAUCUGCUCUUACUCCUCGUCAAUAAAUCGGCGGCGCUCUCUCAAACCGUUAUAUUAAAGCCAGAAUUGGUAUUGACAACGCAUUCAUACAGAUACAGAUACAGAGGAUGUCGCGGUCGUUGUUAAUGUGGAAAAUCGGGUCUCCCGUGCACCGUUUUGUUUACAUGUGGUGGUGACUGUGAAUAAACAUGUAUUUUCAGCCAAAUAGUA
rnacentral:lncRNA from 1 species